rnacentral:rRNA from 1 species
AGUAGGGAUCUUCCACAAUGGACGAAAGUCUGAUGGAGCAACGCCGCGUGAGUGAAGAAGGUUUUCGGAUCGUAAAACUCUGUUGUUGGAGAAGAAUGUAUCUGAUAGUAACUGAUCAGGUAGUGACGGUAUCCAACCAGAAAGCCACGGCUAACUACGUGCCAGCAGCCGCGGUAAUACGUAGGUGGCAAGCGUUGUCCGGAUUUAUUGGGCGUAAAGCGAGCGCAGGCGGUUUCUUAAGUCUGAUGUGAAAGCCUUCGGCUCAACCGAAGAAGUGCAUCGGAAACUGGGAAACUUGAGUGCAGAAGAGGACAGUGGAACUCCAUGUGUAGCGGUGAAAUGCGUAGAUAUAUGGAAGAACACCAGUGGCGAAGGCGGCUGUCUGGUCUGUAACUGACGCUGAGGCUCGAAAGCAUGGGUAGCAAACAGGAUUAGAUACCCUGGUAGUCCAUGCCGUAAACGAUGAGUGCUAGGUGUUGGAGGGUUUCCGCCCUUCAGUGCCGCAGCUAACGCAUUAAGCACUCCGCCUGGGGAGUACGACCGCAAGGUUGAAACUCAAAGGAAUUGACGGGCCGGCC